CUCUCUCUCGUCUUCGGUGGCAAGGCGGAGCUACGUCGGAGGCGGCGGCAGCGAAGCUUAUAAAGCGCAGGAAGCUUGUGAGUUUCUCCCUUGCCAUAGAUUUUCAUAUGUAAGAGCAGGGAUGGAGAUGGCUAUGAUUGAUGCAGCUUCUAAGAGCGUUGGAGUGCCUUUGUGGAAAUUAUUUGUUGUCUUGAAGAGAAACCUAUCUGCUUAGAAACUAAACUAUGGCACCAAAUGCUCAUAUCAAAAAAGCAAUGACAGCUAUGAAAGCUCUUGGAAUAGAGGAGGCGCAGAUAAAGCCUGUCUUGAAAAAUCUUCUCAACCUUUACGAUAAGAAGUGGGACUAAAUAGCCUAGGACAACUACAGGGCUCUCGCUGAUGCUAUCUUCGAGAGACAAGAGACUCAGGCCACUGAAGAGAAAAAAGGAAAGGAGAACACUACAAGAAUUCACUCCAUUAGCUACGGACGGGCGAAGACUUUUCCGUAGCUAAACGAAUUAGCUACA